GAGAUGGACAGCAUUUACACUGGGCUGCAGAAUCCCUCGGAGGAUGUCUACUCCUCAGUAAACGAGCUCCAAGGCAGGAGAACAGCAGCACAACAGGGUGACCCCACUGCUGUUAAAGCUCCUCCAUACAGACGGGCUACUCUGGUCCUGGCAGGGCUGUGUGCUCUCUUAGUGGCUGCCAUUAUAUUCAUCUCAGUCUACAAUUCUAGCUUGCAGUCCAAAUAUCUCGAACUCCAAUCCCAGUAUUCAUUACUGGAAAUGAACUGCAUGGACAUCUCUGCCACCAUUUCUGACUCACGCGUUAAGAACCUCGAACUCCAAUCCCAGUAUUCAGAACUGGAAAGGAACUACAGCA